GACGAACGCUGGCGGCGUGCUUAACACAUGCAAGUCGAACGGAAAGGCCCGGCUUUUGUGGUGUGCUCGAGUGGCGAACGUGUGAGUAACAUGUGAGUAACCUGCCUUUUACGUUGGGAUAACGUCAAGAAACUGGGGCUAAUACGGGAUAUGAGCGCCUGCUGCAUGGUGGGGGUUGGAAGGUUUCGGCGGUUGGUGUUGGACUCGCGGCUUAUCAGCUUGUUGGUGGGGUAGUGGCUUACCAAGGCUUUGACGGGUAGCCGGCCUGAUAGGGUGACCGGCCACAUUGGGCCUGAGAUAAGGCCCAGACUCCUACGGGAGGCAGCAGUGGGGAAUAUUGCACUAUGGGCGGAAGCCUGAUGCAGCAACGCCGCGUGCGGGAUGACGGCCUUCGGGUUGUAACCCGCUUUCGCCUGUGACGAAGCGUGAGUGACGGUAAUGGGUAAAGAAGCACCGGCUAACUACGUG
rnacentral:rRNA from 1 species